rnacentral:rRNA from 1 species
UACGUAGGUGGCAAGCGUUGUUCGGAUUUACUGGGCGUAAAGGGCGCGUAGGCGGCCACCGCAAGUCGACUGUGAAAUCUCCGGGCUUAACCCGGAAAGGUCAGCCGAUACUGCGGGGCUAGAGUGCAGAAGGGGCAACUGGAAUUCUCGGUGUAGCGGUGAAAUGCGUAGAUAUCGAGAGGAACACCUGCGGCGAAGGCGGGUUGCUGGGCCGACACUGACGCUGAUGCGCGAAAGCCAGGGGAGCGAACGGG